GCAAAUUUACAACAUCAUCUUCAAAAACGAAACCACAUUGAGCAAAGAAAAGAGAACUCCUUCACCAUCGCUAAACCAUCUUCCUCACCAACUACAGUAAUUUACGGCAAACUACGAGCAAGGAAAUUAAAACAUCAUCUUCAAAAACGAAACCACAUUGAGCAAAGAAAGGAGAAUUUCUUCACCAUUGCUAUACCAUCUUCCUCACCAACAACAAUGAAUGGAAUUGUUGGUGUACACAUACCUAACAUGGAUUGAGAGAUAAACA